rnacentral:rRNA from 1 species
CUGCUGCCUUCCGUAGGAGUUUGGGCCGUGUCUCAGUCCCAAUGUGGCCGUUCACCCUCUCAGGCCGGCUACUGAUCGUUGCCUUGGUAGGCCAUUACCCCACCAAUUAGCUAAUCAGACGCGGAACCAUCGUAUACCACCAGAGUUUUUCACACCGCUUCAUGCGAAGCUGUGCGCUUAUGCGGUAUUAGCACCUAUUUCUAAGUGUUAUCCCCCAGUAUACGGCAGGUUUUCCACGCGUUACUCACCCGUCCG